AAUUCCUCUGCUAGCAACACAGCUCAGUGAGGGUCACAGGCCCAAAAUGUAUACCACCCCUAUUCUCACCUGUCUCUUAAGCAGGGAAAUUUAAACUAAUUGUCAAAAUAAGCAGAGUUUUUUCAGAUUGAAACAACAGAGGAAUAACACUUCUCUCUCUUGUGUCUUCUACAGUGUAACACAGCAGAGAAAGUAAAGACCAGGGAUAAACAAAUUAAGAGUGCCACCAGUGUUCUGAAGACAAUAUUUUUGAGCUUCAUCACUGAAAUAAAGAUUUGAGAAAUCACCAAUGAACAGCUCAAAUCCACUAGAAAGUCAAGUUUGGGCCCACAUGCAGAUUCUCACAUGAGGCUUUCACAUGUUGGAUUGUAUAUACCUGGUGGUUUACCCUUGGCAAACAGCCCAGUUCCCACCCAGCCAGCAAUCCAAUCCUAACAUUUAAAGGGACAGAGAGAGAAAAUGAGAAAAUUUAUGCACUGAGAUAACGGUGAGUAAAUUGUUUACCAACUAUGGACACAAAGCAGAACUGAUUCCACUUGGAAAAAUCAAU
rnacentral:lncRNA from 1 species